UACGGAGGGUGCGAGCGUUGUUCGGAAUCACUGGGCGUAAAGGGCGCGCAGGCGGUUUUACAAGUCAGAUGUGAAAGCCCACGGCUUAACUGUGGAAGAGCAUUUGAAACUGUGAGACUUGAGUACCAGAGGGGAAGGUGGAAUUCCCGGUGUAGAGGUGAAAUUCGUAGAUAUCGGGAGGAAUACCGGUGGCGAAGGCGACCUUCUGGCUGGAUACUGACGCUGAGGCGCGAAAGCGUGGGGAGCAAACAGG
rnacentral:rRNA from 1 species